AANUUUGCAUGCGUGCAGCGCGACAAGGCAAGUCGGAGUGCAGCAGUUUUACUGCUGCUUUUACUUACUGAAGAUAGGUAGGAGAAUAAGGACUGGGUAAGACGAGUG
rnacentral:rRNA from 1 species